AACACAACAAUCAGCACGACCUGAACCACAGAACUCAGCAGCACCUGAGUGCUUAAAACAUGAAAACAAGAAAGAAACCGAAUUCAGAGAUCCAUGGGGAAGUAUCUGCUGCCAGAGGCUGGGAAGAGGAAGAGAAUGGGACAGACCACAGCUGCUGUUAAUGC